rnacentral:lncRNA from 1 species
AAAUUGAUACACCUUUUGGUUCUAAAAUCCAGUCUGUUGAAUAUGACUGGAAGCCUACCUUUUGCAACCACUGCCUUAAGUUUGGGCAUGACACAAUUGAAUGUUGGUAUUCUUCUGGGAAUUCAGACAAUCAUGUGAAGGAGCAAAAAGUCAUAAGGAGAGAGACAGUUAAACAAAUGCAGCAGGGGAAGCAAAAGAAGAAGGAAUGGCUAGUAAAGAAGAGUGUAGCAACUGAUGGAACCCAAAAGCAGGCUGAGGAAGCUGUUAA